rnacentral:rRNA from 1 species
GGUGGGCACUCUAAGGAGACUGCCGGUGACAAACCGGAGGAAGGUGGGGAUGACGUCAAGUCAUCAUGGCCCUUACGGCCUGGGCUACACACGUGCUACAAUGGUCGGGUACAAAGGGUUGCCAAGCCGCGAGGUGGAGCUAAUCCCAUAAAACCGAUCGUAGUCCGGAUCGCAGUCUGCAACUCGACUGCGUGAAGUCGGAAUCGCUAGUAAUCGUGAAUCAGAAUGUCACGGUGAAUACGUUCCCGGGCCUU